AUCCCUGGGAUUGAUCCCUGCGAUGGCGGGACUGUCAUAUGAGGAAAGAUUGAAAAGACUAGGCUUGUAUUCACUGGAGGUACACAAAAUGCUGGAGUAACUCAGCGG